GCAAGUCGAACGCUAUUUAUAGAGUGGCGCACGGGGGUGUAACACGUGGGAACCUGCCUUUCUCUGCGGGAUAACGGUUGGAAACGACCGCUAAUACCGCAUACGCCUUCGGGGGAAAGGUCCGCCGGAGAAAGAGGGGCCCGCGUCUGAUUAGCUUGUUGGUAGGGUAAUGGCCUACCAAGGCGACGAUCAGUAGCUGGUCUGAGAGGAUGAUC
rnacentral:rRNA from 1 species